UACGUAGGGUGCGAGCGUUAAUCGGAAUUACUGGGCGUAAAGCGUGCGCAGGCGGCUUUGUAAGUUUAUUGUGAAAGCCCCGGGCUCAACCUGGGAAUGGCGAUGAAGACUGUAAGGCUAGAGUGUGUCAGAGGGGGGUAGAAUUCCACGUGUAGCAGUGAAAUGCGUAGAUAUGUGGAGGAACACCGAUGGCGAAGGCAGCCCCCUGGGAUAACACUGACGCUCAUGCACGAAAGCGUGGGGAGCAAACAGG
rnacentral:rRNA from 1 species